rnacentral:rRNA from 1 species
GAUGAACGCUGGCGGCAUGCCUAAUACAUGCAAGUCGAACGAAGCCUUCAGAAAGCUUGCUUUCGAAAAGGCUUAGUGGCGAACGGGUGAGUAACACGUAGGUAACCUGCCCAUGUGCCUGGGAUAACUGCUGGAAACGGUAGCUAAAACCAGAUAGGUAUGAGGAUCGCAUGAAGCUCAUAUUAAAGCACCGUCAGGUGUGAACAUGGAUGGACCUGCGGCGCAUUAGCUAGUUGGCGGGGUAACGGCCCACCAAGGCAGUGAUGCGUAGCCGACCUGAGAGGGCGAACGGCCACAUUGGGACUGAGACACGGCCCAAACUCCUACGGGAGGCAGCAGUAGGGAAUUUUCGUCAAUGGGGGGAACCCUGAACGAGCAAUGCCGCGUGAGUGAAGAAGGUCUUCGGAUCGUAAAGCUCUGUUGUAAGCGAAGAACGGUCCGCAUAGGAAAUGAUGCGGGAG